rnacentral:tRNA from 1 species
GGGGUUGUGGCUCAGAGGUAGAGCACUCGCCUUGCACCUGCGAGACCCUGGGUUCCAUCCUCAGCACCACA